GGCCCAACUUUUAUGUAGAAGAGAUUGGUAGGAUCAGCUGGCCAUACUAAUCUUUUCUACUUCAAGUUUGUGCCC
rnacentral:pre_miRNA from 1 species